GACCUCGUGGCGCGUCUGACUCCAGAUCAGAAGGUUGUGCAUUCAAAUCACGUUGGGGUCA
rnacentral:tRNA from 1 species